rnacentral:rRNA from 1 species
UGCCGGCGACCGGCGGACGGGUGCGUAACGCGUAUGUAACCUACCUUUGACAGGGGGAUAACAUCGAGAAAUUGGUACUAAUACCCCAUAACAUCACCGGAGGCAUCUUCGGUGGUUGAAAACUCAGGUGGUCAGAGAUGGACAUGCGUUGUAUUUAGCUAGUUGGUGAGGUAACGGCUCACCAAGGCGACGAUACAUAGGGGGACUGAGAGGUCAACCCCCCACAUUGGUACUGAGACACGGACCAAACUCCUACGGAAGGCAGCAG